CUAACCCAAAAUUUCUUAUUACAUAUAAAAUUGUGUAGGGUUUCUUAAUUCUCUCUCAUUCCUCUUCUUUCCUAAACCAUUAGACACCUGAGAAAUACUGCCUCCGUGCUUCAAUCUCCGCCUUCUCAUCCUUCUGCUCUGGAUUAUCAAUGUUGUACCUGCUCGUCCUUUAUUUUUGGUCUCAUAAGAUUUCAAGAUGUGAUGGAAUUUUGGGGAUUUUGAAGUGAAGACAAGCAUGUGGUGCUUGAAGUGUGAUUUUGCAGUUUGGCAUUGAGGAUGAUAUAUUGAUUCCCGGCAAGGCCAGAGAAUACUUUGAUGAUAUAUUGAUGCCCGGCAAGGCCGGAGGAUACUUUGAUGAUAUAUUGAUGUACUGCAAGACUGGAGGAUACUACGAUGAUAUAUUGAUUCCCGACAAGGCCGGAGAAACUAUGAUGAUAUAUUAAUACCUGACAAGGCCAAAGAUUGAUCAAGAUAAUUAUGGUCAUGAUGACACUCAUGAUGAGAUUGUUUAUAUUGAUUGUGUACCUUUCAUCCAUUCUUGUAUGCACAUUGCCUAUCAUGAGUAUGCACUAAUGUCUAUCAACCGGUAUGGGACGGAUGCAUAGAUAUGAGCGAAGAAUAUGCCUUUUUUUGUUAUAUAUUGAUUGAACCUUUUGAGUCUGGGGCGAUGGGGGUACACAUAGGCUCAGUUAGGUAUUUGAUUUCCCGAAGUAGUUGGUUAUUUAUGUUGAUAUUGAUGUUAUUAUUAUUGUUAUGAUCAUUAUUAUGGUUAGCUUA